AGCGAACGCUGGUGGCAGGCUUAACACAUGCAAGUCGAACGCCCCGCAAGGGGAGUGGCAGACGGGUGAGUAACACGUGGGAACGUACCCUUUGGUUCGGAAUAACUUGGGGAAACUCAAGCUAAUACCGGAUAAGCCCUUAUGGGGAAAGGUUUACUGCCGAAGGAUCGGCCCGCGUCUGAUUAGCUAGUUGGUGAGGUAAUGGCUCACCAAGGCGACGAUCAGUAGCUGGUCUGAGAGGAUGAUCAGCCACACUGGGACUGAGACACGGCCCAGACUCCUACGGGAGGCAGCAGUGGGGAAUAUUGGACAAUGGGGGCAACCCUGAUCCAGCCAUGCCGCCUUAGUGAUGAAGGCCUUAGGGUUGUAAAGCUCUUUUACCCGGGACGAUGAUGACUGUACCGGGAGAAUAAGCCCCGGCUAACUUCGUGCCAGCCGCCGCCGUAA
rnacentral:rRNA from 1 species